rnacentral:lncRNA from 1 species
CCCCUCCCCCCAAUCUAUCCUAUUGAUAUAAAAUCAUACUAAAUUACCAGUCAAUAACCAAAGAGUGUCUAUAGUUCUAUUAUAGUUAAUUAAAUUAUACCAAAGUUUAGAUCUUUUAUUAUUUUAGUACUAGCAUAAAUAGCCAAAAAAACACCAAGAAAGAGAAUUAGAGUCUACCUGAAUCAUUGCAUACACUUCUUGAUUAGUAUGGUUCUUAAGAGUAACUUGGACCAUAGGAGAAUACCACAUCAAAAUCAUGCCCCC